AAUAAACCAUAUAAAUGAGUUCCAUCUUUUAUGAAAUACCAAUUGACAAGAUCUUCGCUUGACACAUAUUUCAAAAUUAAACCAUCCAAAUUCGUGCCAAUAAGCCCCCAUGCAGAGAUACGUUACCUCCAUCCCCAUGUUGUUUUUCUACUAUUUCCCUUUUCUUCAAAUAGUGCUACUAUACCAAGCCACAGACGACAAAAUAUAAAGAGUAAAGUAUUGUGAAAACCCAUUGUUCACUUGUGUUACACUGUAUAUAGAUUCCUUUGUCUACACCUUCAACAUCAAUGGUGAAGUGUGUGUGCCUCUAGCAAAGCAAAGGAAGAAACAUUACUCUCUUGUCAUUCAAUCACCACCCAUUUAAGAACCCACUAAAAACUGACUCAUGUUGGUAACCACCAAGCCACUCACUCACGACCACCGCAUGCCAACGAGCCACUAACGACCACUACGCACUAUUUUGCUAUUCAAGGUUGUUGCACCAUCUCCUUAUUUCUCAUUACACUUAUGCAAAGCUUGUUAUUAUUAUUAUUAUUUUGGGC
rnacentral:lncRNA from 1 species